rnacentral:tRNA from 1 species
GCCUGGCUUGCUCAGUCGGUAGAGCGUACAACUCUUAAUUUCAGAACUGUGAGUUCAAGACCCAUGUUGGGUA